ensembl:lncRNA
UUCCGUUCUUUCCGUUCUUUCCGUUCUUUCCGUUCUUUCCGUUCUUUCCGUUCUUUCCGUUCUUUCCGUUCUUUCCGUUCUUUCCGUUCUUUCCGUUCUUUCCGUUCUUUCCGUUCUUUCCGUUCUUUUAGUUGUUCUUUUUGAACUGCCGCCUAAUUUUCUGCCCUAUGUUUCUGUCUCUGUGGAGGUUCUUUCCGUUCUUUCCGUUCUUUCCGUUCUUUCCGUUCUUUCCGUUCUUUCCGUUCUUUCCGUUCUUUCCGUUCUUUCCGUUCUUUCCGUUGUUGUUUUUGAACUGUUACCUAAUUUUCUGCCCUAUAUUUCUGUCUCUGUGGAGGUUCUUUCCGUUCUUUCCGUUCUUUCCGUUGUUUCCGUUCUUUCCGUUCUUUCUGUUCUUUCCGUUCUUUCCGUUCUUUUUGUUGUUUUUGAACUGUCACCUAAUUUUCUGCCCUAUGUUUCUGUCUCUGUUGAGGUUCUUUCCGUUCUUUCCGUUCUUUCCGUUCUUUCCGUUCUUUCCGUUCUUUCCGUUCUUUCCGUUCUUUCCGUUCUUUCCGUUCUUUCCGUUCUUUCCGUUCUUUCCGUUCUUUCCGUUCUUUCCGUUCUUUCCGUUCUUUCCGUUCUUUCCGUUGUUGUUUUUGAACUGUCACCUAGUUCUCUGCCGUUUGUUUCUGUCUCUGUGGAGGUUCCUUCCGUUCUUUCCGUUCUUUCCGUUCUUUCCGUUCUUUCCGUUCUUUCCGUUCUUUCCGUUCUUUCCGUUCUUUCCGUUCUUUCCGUUCUUUCCGUUCUUUCCGUUCUUUCCGUUCUUUCCGUUCUUUCCGUUCUUUCCGUUCUUUCCGUUCUUUCCGUUCUUUCCGUUCUUUCCGUUGUUGUUUUUGAACUGUCACCUAAUUUUCUGCCCUAUGUUUCUGUCUCUGUGGAGGUUCUUUCCGUUCUUUCCGUUCUUUCCGUUCUUUCCGUUCUUUCCGUUCUUUCCGUUCUUUCCGUUCUUUCCGUUGUUGUUUUUGAACUGUCACCUAAUUUUCUGCCCUAUGUUUCUGUCUCUGUGGAGGUUCCUUCCGUUCCUUCCGUUCCUUCCGUUCCUUCCGUUCCUUCCGUUCCUUCCGUUCCUUCCGUUCCUUCCGUUCCUUCCGUUCCUUCCGUUCCUUCCGUUCCUUCCGUUCCUUCCGUUCCUUCCGUUCCUUCCGUUCCUUCCGUUCCUUCCGUUCCUUCCGUUCCUUCCGUUCCUUCCGUUCCUUCCGUUCCUUCCGUUCCUUCCGUUCCUUCCGUUCCUUCCGUUCCUUCCGUUCCUUCCGUUCCUUCCGUUCUUUCCGUUGUUGUUUUUGAACUGUCACCUAAUUUUCUGCCCUAUGUUUCUGUCUCUGUGGAGGUUCUUUCCGUUCUUUCCGUUCUUUCCUUUCUUUCUGUUCUUAUUCUUGACCUGUCACCUAAUUUUUUGCCGUAUGUUUCUGUCACUCUGGAGGUACUUUCUGUUCUUUCCGUUCUUUCCGUUGUUAUUCUCGACCUGUCACCUAAUUUCCUGCUGUAUGUUUCUGUCCCUGCGGAGGUUAUUUCCGUUAUUUCCGUUAUUUCCGUUAUUAUUUCCGUUCUUUCCGUUCUUUCCGUUCUUUCCGUUCUUUCUGUUGUUGUUUUUGAACUGUCACCUAAUUUUAUGCCCUAUGUUUCUGUCUCUGUGGAGGUUCUUUCCG